ensembl:lncRNA
UAAAAGUUCACUGAUUCCCCCAUCUGCAGCAGGUGUCCGGUUGUCUUCAUUCUCCGCCAGCCUGGAUCCGCUCCAGGCCAAACUGGAACGGGUGGGAGGACAUCGGCCGUGGUCUGAGUGAACGGAGUUUGGACAAAAGCUGUGUACACACAAAAACAAGGUAAGCAGACCUUUUAUUUCUGCUAUAUUGAACAUUAUAAAAAUACUUAGUGUCCAAACUCCUAGUAAUUCAUAACCAAAAUUGUCUGGCUUACUUAAGGCUUGUUGAGAAUCAGACAAGUGAAUAAGAGAUAAGUGAAUAAGAAAUAAGUGAAUAAGUGAAUAAAGAUAAGAGUGAACUGAGGUCUGACCACGGUUGCGGCCGACGGGUCGCUCUCCGGUGUCGGAUAAAUACCUCAGUGCAGGUCUGGGACCUUGAAAGGGUUUAUUAGUAACGCCUUUCUAAACAAAUUAAAAGGUUAAAGGCCUUGAGAAUAUUUUUUAGUAAUAUUCUCUAAACUACAGAAGGGUUAGGAAGGCCCAGAGGACUUUAUUAGAAAAGAUCCUCUAAAACUUAAAAAGAGAAGUACUGGUUGGAGUCCAAAGGACGGGUCCCUUUGAUCAAUAGGAGAAAACGGAUCUCUUCUUAAAACCCCGAUGAUUUUAGUGUUUUAAAUGUUUUGAUGUUCUGUUUGAUAUUGGACACACAUAAAUACACGCUGAAUGCUUGCUGUGGAACACUGGGCAGGACAGUUUGGUUCUCCGUUGUUCACAGAUUACACAAUUAAAGGAACUAGGUUCCUCUUUUGGUUAAAAUAAUACACCACACAUAGAAUUUUUUUUUUACACAUUUAUUACAUACAUAAGGAGGGUAAUGAGUGACUGCAGGUAAUGUAUGAAGUGUGAAUGAGACGUGUGAACAAGGUGACAACCAACUAGCACCCCUAUCAGGAAGCUCUAGGCAAGGUUACCCGCCAGACUCCGGUUUGGUAGAAGCUUGGUAACACCUGAAGGGAUAUUUCAGUGCUGACUCACCUUUAAAGCAGCGCCCCAGCUGAUUAGUGCCUAACAGAGGCAGAAACCCAGCUGGCCCAAAUUCUCCUUUAAAAGCAAUAAAAGAACACUCCUCCAUUGACAGUAAAAUGGAUGGAGAAUUAGAUCGAGAAACUAAUGAUGAUGGUUGGGGUCCCGGUGUUAUGCUUAGCACAUUGGGAGAACAAUUAACAUGUGUUGAGACAGUCAUCAACUCCACACACCAGCCUAAAGAAGCAAAAAAGCAGAAAGAGUCAUUGAGGAAAACAGCUGAAAGAUGCUUUUAAAUUAGUCAAAAAUUUAGCAACACCAGCAGAGAAAUAGAGAAGUGAGAUAAAGUUGUUCUGGCAUAUGGUGUUUUCUUAGGAAUUCGAGCGCUAUCGGGAGGGCGUUCCCGAGGUGUGUAUUGAUCAGCAAGGCUAGGCCUGGGCUAUAGGUGCUUUUAAAUUAGUCAAAAAGUUAGGGGUAACCUCUUCUGGCAUAUGUCUAUGCGGGCCCGUGUGUAAAUAGAACAUAAAUUACCGGUGUGUGUAAAUAAAGUGUAAAAUAGUGGUAUAAACUGUCUGUUGAAUUUCUCCUGAGUGUUGAAAAAAGGAAAAACUCUUUUCUGCUCUCUCUCUGAGAGAGGGGCUGUGUGUGUGAGACAGGAAGUGUGCAUGCCCAUAGAAGGAAAGAGAUGAGGUAAACUCUGUGCAGAUAGACCGAAGUAAAAAAAAAAAAAAAAAAAAAAAAGGAAAAGGGUCUCUCUCUCUGUCUCUGUGAGAGGAAAAAGGUGGGGGCCGAGUGAGCCCGCGGGGCCGAGCGGGUCCGCGGGAGCGAGCGUGUAUGCUGUAUGAGGAAGAAGGGAGUGAGAGGGAGCGAGUGAAAAGAGUAAUCGAGUAUUUGGUGAUUUUUUUUUAUUAUUUCAGAGGCACUGGGUAAGAGUUUUGACUUUAGCUGUGAGAGUUGUGAAAAGAGCAGGUUUUUCUUUUGUUGUAGACUGUGAGUAAUCGGUGUUUUUCUGCCUAUUGUGCUGCGUGGAAGACACAGAAGUGUAGAAAUGUUUGUGGUUUAUCUUUGUUUGACGUUUUAUAUAGAGUUGGUUGAUUCAGGGUGAUUUCUCCCGUUUAAGGGAGGAGUUGUAUUGUGGUUAUGUUAAAGCUUUGCUGUAGGGGUAUGUGUGUGAUUUUGUGCUGGCUUCGCAUGUUUAAAUGGAUGCAUAGAAGUUUGUCAGUGAGAAAUUGUUAUGGUGGGGUUUUAAAGUUAGUAAAGAGUCAAACAACGCCCGCUGUUUUAAAAAGGCCCAAAACAUCAUAAAAGACACCUCACAUCCUGGCCACUCCCUGUUCGAACUGUUGCCCUAAGGCAGACGGUACAGGGCAAUCAGAGCAAGGACUAAUAGACUCAAACACAGCUGUUAUCCAACUGCAAUAACACAUCUGAAUACUACAAAAAUGUCCACCAUGCCACUCUUGUGUUAAUCUAUGCACGGUCUGAAGCAUGACGGUGGGAAUACUUAGUAUUUUAAGUAUUCUAUCUAUUUUAUUGAUUGAAUUUUAUUGUUUUUUUAUAUUUGAUAUUACUAGGGAUGAUGCAAUGAUCAGG